rnacentral:lncRNA from 1 species
GCCACAAUAUUCACCUCCUGGUUCUGAUUCUACCUCUUGUACUCUAACCUCUGCCUUGGAAAUCUCUUCCACCUCUAAUAGUGUCUUUGAGCAGCAACUACUCAAUUCAUUCGGGAACUUGCAAAAGUAAUUCACUCUAUUUGAGACCUUGUAAUUGAGGAUUGCUACUGACUUGGCACAAGCACAAGAACAUAUGGCUAUCUUCUGGGCUGAUGUGGAAAGGAGAGAUGUUGCGAUAAACAGGUCCCUACAAAAGAAUUUAACCAGGCCUAUGCCUGAGUUUCGU